UACGUAGGGGGCGAGCGUUGUCCGGAUUUAUUGGGCGUAAAGAGCUCGUAGGCGGUUUGGUAAGUUGGAUGUGAAAUCUCCAGGCUCAACUUGGAGGGGUCAUUCGAUACUGCCAUGACUAGAGUUCGGUAGGGGAGUGUGGAAUUCCUGGUGGAGCGGUGAAAUGCGCAGAUAUCAGGAGGAACACCGGUGGCGAAGGCGGGACUCUGGGCCGAUACUGACGCUGAGGAGCGAAAGCGUGGGGAGCAAACAGG
rnacentral:rRNA from 1 species